ACUCGUGACCUCGCCAGCUCUCAGCUCCCUCGGGCGAUUUCGUGCACGCUAAUGUGCGCCUCUGUGUUUUCCUAAAUGCUGGUUUCUUCAUCAAGCGGCGGAAUAACGCAUCAGGGCAGGUGACCCACGUCACCGGGGUGAUGCACUGGUGCUCGCCGGGGCGGGCGCUGUGCCUGCGGGAGCCGCGCGGCCGGCGCGGUGUCGGGGCGCCUCGUGGGGGCCGAGCCGCGCCCGCACGUCCCUCAGGUAGGCGCGACCAGAGUUUCUUUAGACAGGAUGACCUGGCAGCGUUUCCACCCCACCCACGGCGAGUUUCGCUUUCCUAAUGUGGUUAAAAAGUGCGUUCUAUCUGAAAUAGGGUGGUUGAACAGGUUUCAACAUUUUACUUAAUUUUUUGUUUGUUUUAGAUUUCUUCCUUCUGGUGGGUCUCUUUCUUUUUCUGUCAAGAAGAUGUUCAUAACUGUCCUCUUUGGCAUUUGUUCAAAGUCCAGUUCUAAUAGCUUUUGGACUGUGGUUUAAUUUUAACCAUAAAGCAUUCUUUUGGAAUAAUUGCUUUUGAAUCUGGGAAGAGCCAGCUGGAUACAAGGCCAUAAACACCCCCCUGCGGGGAAUGUACAGGCUUUAAGUUACGUUUUUUUACCACUAGCAUUUCUCUUUAUCUUUUUUCUUUUUUUGGAGACAGGGUCUGGCUCUGUUGCCCAGGCUGGAGUUCAGUGGUACAAUCAGAGCUCACUGCAGCCUCAUCCUCCUGGGCUCCAGCGAUCCUCCCAUCUCAGCCUCCCGAGUAGCUAGCUGGGACCACAGGCACGCAUCACUGGCUAAUUUUUUUUUUUUUUUUUAGAGACAGGGUGUUGCUAUGUUGCCCAGGCUGAUCUCAAACUCCUGGUCUCAAGUGAUCCUCCUGCCUCAGCCUCCCAAAGUGCUGGAAUUACAGGCCUGAGCCACCAUGCCUGGCCUAGCAUAUCUCUUUUUUUAAAAAAAGGAGACUGAUGGGGGUUGGGGGGAUGCAAAUUGUGAGUAGAUAGGUGGGAUUGGAGGAGAGUUUGAACAUCUGCUUUAAUCAACUAAAUGGUGUCUUAGAGCUGUCCUGCGGGCAACCAUGUGGCCUCAGAUUUCUGGGACAAUCUCAAUUUCUGGGACAGAGGACUGGCCCACUGGCCCUUUGUUAGGCUACGCAUCAGACCACCACCAAUUUCCAGUUCUGAAAUUGUGGUCACCAGAGAGACCUAUCAGCAGCCAUAGACAUUAUCUCCUUCGGAAUGACUGGACCCAGGCAGCCAGGCAGAGCUGGGGUCCCCAGAGCUCCUGGCACUAGCCGGAAUAUUUCCAGUUCCUCUUCUUCCCUUACAGCACAAGUCCUUUGGUAAUCAUUGCUCAUAUUUGUAGAACCUUAGAGAAUUUUGGAUGUAGCAGGACAGAAAUUGGUUGCCUGCCAUUUUGUGGCUUGGGUGGCAUACAUCUUGUUUGGCAAUUAAAAAAAAAAGAUGAGAAGAAAAUGGGAUAUGCAAUGGAGACCAAUUCAAGAAAAAGUGAUUUAUGCCAGUCCUAGCUGAGGCAGAUGAAUUUGGGAAGACUUACUUGUUUUCUAGAAAUAGUCUUCACUUGACCAGAGAUUCAUACUUGGGCGUAUUUAAAUACAGAGCUCUUCUGGAGCAUUUGACUAGAAGGACAGAAAACCAGAGACUAAUUAACCAGUUGUUACCAGCGGGAAAUCCGUUUUUGUUUGUUUGUUUGUUUGUUUGUUUUCUUUUUGAGGCGGAGUCUCGCUCUGUCGCCAGGCUGCAGUGGAGUGGCGUGAUUUUGGCUCACUGUGCAAUCUCUGCCUCCUGGGUUCAAACCAUUCUCCUGCCUCAGCCUUCCAAGUAGCUGGGAUUACAGGUGCACUCCACCACACCCAGCUAAUUUUUGUAUUUUUAGUAGAGACGGGGUUUCACCAUGUUGGCCAGGAUGGUCUCAAUCUCCUGAUCUGGUGAUCUGCCUGCCUUGGCCUCCCAAAGUGCUGGGAUUAUAGGCGUGAGCCACUGCGCCAGGCCAAGAGAUCAGUCUUACAUGAAAAUCAAGGGUUCAGUUACCCAGUGGGUCAGUAAGAGAUGAGGCUUUCAUUUAGAAAAACCGGAGCCUGAGGCCGGGCGCGGUGGCUCACGCCUGUAAUUCCAACACUUUUGGAGGCCAAGGCAGGUGGAUCACGAGGUCAGGAGUUCAAGACCAGCCUCGCCAAGAUGGUGAAACCCUGUCUCUACUAAAAAUACAAACAUUAGCUGGGCGCAGUGGCAGGCAGCUGUAAUCCCAGCUACUUGGGAGGCUGAGGCAGGAGAAUCGCUUGAACCUGGGGGGCAGAGAUUGUGCCACUGCACUCCAGCCUGGAUGACAGAGUGAGACUCCAUCUCAAAAAAAAAAUUAAAUUAAAAAUAAAAGUAGAAAAAUUGGAGCCUGUGCAGCUCUCCUGAGGGCAGAUGCAUAAAGCUGGGUGCGCCCCUCCAGCCUGCUGGGUCCCACAGAAGCUCAAGAGGCAGGGGCCAUGUCUUUCACCACUUGUCACUGCUAUAAUUCCCUGUUUAGAACUCUCAGUGAGUGUCAGAUCAACACAUUCAUCCACCAUAUCCCGUGUGUAUAAGAACAAUCCAUCACUCCUGACCUAAUCCAGCACAGAACAGAACUUCUGGAAGAGGACUAAAGAAGAGAAAGAGUGGAAGUGUCACAUGCCCAGAGGAAAAUAGAUGCGACAGAGAUGAAUAAAACAAAACAAAACAAAAGGAAGAAAGCCAAGCUAAUCUGGGAGUUCCAUCACGGCUAAGAACGCAUCUUUGUUUUGUCACGCGGUUUCUAGCCCGGCUCAGACCUGGGCUGCGGCACCUCAGGCAUCUCCUUUCAUCUCUCGGCUUUUCUCCUGGCUCCCGGGCGCUUCUCGAGACUUUUUGGACCUGGACUGGUCCAUGGCAGAACACCUCUUUCCUGAGUCCUCCCUAUGCACCUGCCCAAAGCGGGGGAUUGGGGUGGCACUCUCCAAGAUGCCAGGCUCCUCAAAUGGAGCCAUCACCCCCUAGGCUGUACUUGGCAUUGUCUCCAAGGAGCCUGGGGAGGUAACCGGUUGGGGACUGAUUCACUUGGGAGGGAGGGAGCGAGUGCAGAUUGCAGAUGCUAUCUAGUCGGGCCAAGUCAACCUGGGGAAGGGCAGGUCUGUGUCUCAACUGGUUUAGGGGUGGGAGAGUGGGAUUGGAACUUUUACACCUUGCAUUCUUAGGACGUCACAAUGGUUUUCCCAAGGCCUCCUUAUCUGAGGGUGUUUACCUAUUCAACCAGCAUACGCAGGUUCAGGACUCCCACUUUGUCCGGGUUCUGUCCUCACAGGCACAGGAAGAUUAAUGCGAACAACAGGGUCUGACAAACCAAAACUCACAGAUAAGAGACUUGGGUUAUUAGGGCAGAUGCCAGAAGUCAUGGGAUCUUCACGGGGUGGCUGUAGGCUGAGCAAUCUCCCUCGGGAUGUGAGGGGGUGUAUUUCUGCGUUAUUGGUCAUUGAGAAAUUCCCUAAUCUUAGAGAGAAAAGGAAUGAAACCAAGGGCUUGAAUCGGAGUAUACGUAGUUGACCUAAUUAUAAGGUUGUCCAUCCAUCUGUUUAAUAAAUAGUUCCAUGAUGUGGGACGGCAAGGUCACUCAUAGCCCUGAACAUUAACAACGUUUUCCUAAGGUUCUGGAAAAAAAGUGGUAACCAUGUGUUCAGCUGCAGGCUUGUUCUGUCUCAGGCCUCAGGCUGACAUGAAUCAGAAAUAGAGGGAAAUGUGGAAGUGGCAUUGCAAAUAUUAGUUCUAAAAACGGACUGGGAAGAGAGAGUGCCUCUAGACCCAGUCAUGGCCUAGCCAAGCCCCAGAAGAAUGACAUCACCCAUUGUGCCUCGUGGGGAGCCCCUGAGGCUGUCAUGGAUUUGUAGUCCUAUGUGGGACAGCGCUGCUGACGCGGUUAUUUCCUGCACUAGACCUACCCUGUCAGCAAGACACUGUUUACAUGAGCUGAGUGCCAAGUUGCGGCACAUUAUGCACAAUCGCUUUUAAGUUCAAUUAAAUUAACGUUUAGAAACAUUGUAGAUAGAAAAAGCUAAAGAGCAUUUUAGCAAACAGUGAUUACCUAGAGAUGCAAGUGCUUUGAAUUUGAGCAUUAGAGAACUUGUGAAUUUGUAGGAGUUAAGCAGGACAAGUACCCAUCUAAUGAAUGUUCAUAAGGGAAGCGCGCGUGUAGGAGGCAUUUCAGGUAGCCCAGCGCAGACCAAGGAGGGAAGGAAACAGAUAAGAUGUCAGAAAACAUCUUCAAAUACCCAGAGUUGUUAUCCCCUCCACGAAACAUUGGAGGGCGAAUUGUUUGGGUCAGUAAAAUAGAAUCAUAAAGUGUGAAGAAGAAACCUGUGGAACAUUCUGGAAGAAUUGGUCAGAGAUGGGCCGGGCGUGGUGGCUCACACCUGUAAUCCCAGCACUUUGGGAGGCCGAGGUGGGUGGAUCACCUGAGGUCAGGAAUUCAAGACCAGACUAGCCAACAUGAUGAAACCCCGUCUCUACUAAAAAUACACAAAAUUAGCCGGGCGUUGUGGUGGGCGCCUGUAAUCCUAGCUACUCAGGAGGCGGAGGCAGGAGAAUUGCUUGAACCCGGGAGACAGAUUGCAGUGAGCUGAGAUUGCGCCACUGCAGUCCAGCCUGGGCAACAAGAGCGAAACUCCAUCUCAAAAAAAGAAAAAAAAAAAAAAAGAAUUGGUAAGAGAUGAAUACCCCAUCACAGCCUCUUUGAUUUCAGAGGUGAAAUAGUUGAACCCCAGACCUCACUGUCAGAUGUAAAGAGUCACUCCAAAUUUAUAAGCUCAUUAAACUAGUAUUUCUGACCGUUUACACAUUUGGCUGUAGAGAAAAUACACAGAAUGCUUCCAGCCACACCUAUGCCUACUCAAGCCACUUAGCUGACAAGCCACUUAGCUUUUUCUUCUAAUUACUCGGGUGCGCGUCUCUGUUAUUUACAAAGUUUGGUGAAGUCAGGGCAGGGGGAAUUUAUGGUUCGAUACCCUUUCUAGCACAGAGGGGUAAAAUUCAGCCUGUCUUUUGAAAUCAGUCUGAACUGUCAAACUCCCAGUUGAGGACUCCUCUCCCCAAAUCAGGAAUCUUUUUUGUUUUCUCUGGCUAUGGGCCACAGUCAGGGCUUUGGAGUUCAUUUGUAUGCCCUCCCCCAUCCCCAUUAGUGUUAUUGUGUAUAUUUGAGGUACUUAUUCUUCACUGACCAUAGGUGAAUAGGAGCUGGUUCACCUAAAAGCUCCCACUCCCCAUUCACUUUUUUUUUUUUUUUUUUUUUUUUGAGAUGGAGUCUUGCUCUGUUGCCCAGGCUGGAGUGCAGUGGUGAGAUCUUGGCUCAAUGCAACCUCUGCUUCCCAGGUUCAAGCGAUUCUCCUGUCUCAGCCUCCUGGGUAGCUGGAAUUACAUGUGCCCACCACCACACCCGACUAAGUUUUCGUAUUUUUAGCAGAGACGGGAUUUCAUCAUAUUGGUCAGGCUGGUGUCGAACUCCUGACGUCAGCUGAUCCACCUGCCUUGGCCUCCCAAAGUGCUGGGAUCGCAGGUGUGAGCCACCGCACCCAGCCCCCAUUCACUUUUGUUUUAGGAAAUGAGAAAGCUUCUGCCUUUUUUCUUUCCUUCCUUCCUUGGAUGUUAGUUAAGAUCAGUGAGGUAAUGGUGAUAAAGUACUUUGAAUUACCUCAAGGAGAGUGCAGCCCAACUUGUUAUUAUUUACCUAGGUCAGUUCACAAACCCCCACGAUCUAGGGUUCCUGUCUCCUGCCCUGGGGAUGGUGCCUGGGAGAAAGGAGAUGUCACAGACCCAGUCCCACAGGGCGCUGUUGGCUGGAGUUGGUCAUUCCUUACUUUGACAUCAACAGGCUUAUCUCUAGAAAUAGGCUAAAUGGUAGCUCAGGCGCCGGUGUUGCCUCAUCCCGCAAACUCCCAGGGAGGCUGCCUACUUCCAGCCCCUGUUCUGGGAACUAAUGAUAGGUGGGAUGAAAAGACUGUUUCCUCUGAUGCGCUUUUAUGAGUUGUUUUCGAAGAUGAGGUGGCAAGGACAUGGUUAACCCGCUCCCUUGUGCAGGGAGACAUCAGAAUGACAGGGCACGGGGAAUCUCCCCAACCCGUUCCCAGGAGAGCUCUUGCCGAGGACGGCCCAGCUGUUAGCCAGAAAUCAAGGCAGCCUCAAGCCCUGUAACCCAGAUAUCAGUGGGCUUUUUCGGCUGACGGUGCUGUGGCCUGCGGCAGGCGGCAGUGUGGGUAGAGGACAGCUGUGGCUGAGGCCGGCAGCUCUUUCCACACGACUUCUUGGGUAAUGGCUCUUCUUAAGCCUGUGAUAUUUAGGGAUUGUCAAACUUCCCUUUCAUCCUGAGCCACCUUCCCUCAUGGGUAGCAGAGGAGUUGGAUUUCUUUCUUUUCUUUUCUUUUUUCUUUUUCUUUUUCGACAGAGUCUUGCUCUGUCGCCCAGGCUGGAGGGCAGUGGUAUGAUCUCUGCUCACUGCAACCUCCACCUCCCGGGUUCAAGUGAUUCUUCUGCCUCAGCCGCCCGAGUAGCUGGGAUUACAGGCACGCACCACCACGCCCAGCUAAUUUUUGUAUUUUUAGUAGAGAUGGGGUUUCACCAUGUUGGUCAGGCUGGUCUCGAACUCUUGACCUCAGGUGAUCCACCUGCCUUGGCCUCCCAAAGUGCUGGGAUUACAGGCGUGAGCCACCAAGCCCGGUCAAGGAGUUGGAUUUCUUAUGACAAGAGUAUUAUGGCUGUGUGUCCCAGAGGAGGCACUGUGUCCUCAUGAGGGUCCUUCACUGAAAGGAGAGCCUCGAGGACAAAGGAAUCUUCUAGAGACGACGUUGGGAGGGAGGAGUGGAGUUUGCAGGUGACUCUAGAGGACCCCAAAGUCCAGUGGGAGCUCAUUACCUCCUCGAUAGGAGGAGCCUGUUGUUGUAUGAGUGAGGAAAGGUGGCAGAACCGAGGCUGAGAGAGGCUGCGAAGAUGCAGCAGCAGUGCUGAGGCCUGAGAGGAGGACACGUUCUAUUACGCCAAUUAAUUCUACCCACCGAAAGGGCACAUCACAUUUUUGGGGUUGCCAAAAGCCGUUCUUAGCAGUAAAAAGUCUGUGAACUGCUGCACUGGGGAUUGGCAAAGGCUUGGUAGCCAGCGCAUUGAAGAGGGAGGGACAGCAAGCCUCACACCGGGAGUGGAUCCUUCCUGUGUUUCUGCCACCACAGUUUGCCAGUUUGAUGCCAAGGGACUCUUACUGUUUAUGUGUGCAUGUUUGUGCUGUUAGAUUAUCUUCUGAGCAAUUUCAAGUUUUAAGAAUAUGUUGGUGAAGUCAACAAUGAACAAUUCCAGGAGACUUGGUUCCACCCGGGCCCUGCUCAGGAAAGAUGAGGAGCCCCUCCCAACCCCACCCCUGCCUGUCCACAUGGCCCUUCCUCCCCAUCAUCCACCAUGGGGCCCUCCUGUGCCACAACAUGGCUCUCAUCCUUCUGUCUGGACACUUGCCCUGCCUCCUGGAGAGCCAGGCUCCUGCCCUGGCGGGCAUGUGAGUGUGCAUGUGUGUGAGUGUGCAUGUGUGAGUGUGCGUGUUUGCGAGUGUGCACGUGAGUGCACGUCUGAACGUGUGUGGGAGUGUAUACGUGAGUGCACGUCUCAACGUGUGUGCGAGUGUGCAUGUGUGUGCGAGUGUGUACGCGUGAGUGCACGUGUGCAUGUGUGUGCAAUUGUGCGUGUGUCUACGUGUGUGCAUGUGAGUGCAUGUGUGUGUGAUUGCGUGUGUGUAUAAUUGUGCACGUAUGUGAGUGUGCAUGUGUGUACAAUUGUGUGCGUGUGUGUGAGUGUGCAUGUGUGUGCAUGUGGCACGGAGGGGGAAGAAGAGAGUUCUCCUCUGUGGUGAUCGCCACCAUUCAGUUGAAGGGUUUAAGCUGAGCCAAGAUGAAGCAAGAGUGACACCAAGUGCCAAGAACAAGUGCUUGCUGUGGUAUCAGGUGUGCUCUCUCCUCAAAUCAGAGGAGCAGAGAGAAGCUCAGUUCCAGUCUGCAGUGUUCACCCCUGUGAGAGGGUGCCGACCCAUCCAGAGGUGGCCAGCCCCCUCCAGAGGUGGCUCAGUGCUGGCAUGCCACUCUGCCCAUUUGGACAAGGGGAUGGCCUCUCUGGGAAUUGGAUGCGGAACCGAAGCUUUGAAUAGAUUUAAAAAAUAAAAUCCAAGGUGGGAUGUUUUGUUGGCUAGAACAUGAUGCACAGACCCAGAUUGCCGUUCUGGCCCUAUUGCUGUCCUUCAGCCCCAUUCGGAGAAUGACCAGACCCCGAGGCCACAGUAGGACAAAGAAGAAGACUGACCCAGUUCUCUGUUUCCUGCUGCCAUGCCCGGGCCUCUGCUGCCAGAAGUCUUCCCCAUGAAGCCAUAGGUGGGGGACUAAAAGGCAUAUUCCUGUGGGGUGACCCCGAGAGAGACUGGGCAUGGUUUCCACCGAGGCACUGUUGGGGGCAGAGAAUUCUUUGGUUGCCGGAGAGGACCACCUGGUGCAGACCAGACCUGCAGCUGCGGCUUCAGGGUAGGAGCAUGGCCGCCUUGGUGUCGCCAUCUGGCCAGUCCUUGUUCCUACAGUUCCACUCCCAGCCGUGUCCUCAGCUUGUACCCACUUGUUUUUUUCCUUCAUGGAAGCUAAGGAGGGGACUGGGUUUGUUUGUCCAGAUGCCACCAGUUGGAUGACCGUUGCGGGUACAGGAGUGUCUUCACCACGCAGUGCCAGGCCAGGUCCCACCUCACAUCUCUAUUCCUCAUCUGGGAAUGCUGGCAUCAGCAGGUUGAUUCAAAACUAGGAGGUGUUGGGAAACCCCUUGGGCUGGAGAUUUCGAACUGAGAUUCAGAUGAGAAAAAACAUAGUGGGUGGGGUUCUGAGGCAGGAAGGAGACAGCAAAAGCUCCUGUCCUGACGCUCCGCUCGAUAGCGGGGAUCAACAGAGCGGCCUGGCAUGGUUGGGGGCAGCUGCGCUGGCUGAACCCAGGUGCAAGGCUGGCCCUGGACGGCCUCUCCCACCUCUGGACACAGAGCCGCCCCGUGCCUCUCCAUUCACCAGGCAAAACCACACCUGGAGUGGCGCGUUCAGUCUGGGGCAUGUUGGCACCAGCAGGUGUGGAUAAAUCCAAGGGCUCCUUCGGAGGGAGGGCAGGGGAGGAGGGCUGGCAGGAGUAUGGGGAGAAAAGCUGUUUGAAAAGAUUGUAAAAGGCUGUGGGAGAAUUCAGAGAGGGGGCGAGUGAUGAAGGGAGGACCACGCAGCUCAGGAGCCACAGCCUGGGUGGCCUGGGCGGCAAGGGCAGCCCCCAUUCUGCUGUUGAGUGGCUGUCUUGCCGUCUGCACUCCCUCGUCAUACAGUCCUCCCUGUGCGUUAGCUCAGGACAGCCUGGCAUCGGUGGCUCCUGGUGGCAGGUGCCUGUGACAUGAAGAGCACAGAGGAAGACGCUGGCUAGAUCCAGAGGCAGAGAGAGGAGGACAUGAGGAGAAGGUGAGGGAAACUGAGGAACAAGGAGAGGAAGAGCAAUUAAAAUGAUUCCUUGAAAGAAAAGGAGGUAAAACAGAAAACGUGGCGAGGGGUAUCCUAGAAGGAGCAGAAAAGGAAGGAAAAAAAGGGUGAACAUUGUCUUUCAUUUGAAGGACUUGGAGUGGCACAGUCAAGAACGAGUCUCCAAACACAGUCAGUACUCAGAAAGCUCAUCAUUGGAUUUGUAAAUCCAUUUCAUCUGGGUGGACUGAAGAACGUGGUACCCUCUGAGGAUGUCAGGGCCCAUAUUGUGGGAAAGUCAAGAGUGGCGCCGCAACAAACUAGCUAAUCAGUUAUGAACACGAGGGGCUCAUGAUUCAUGAGCCUGCCCAUCUAUCUCGUGCAGGGUGGAGACCCAUCUAACCGGAACCACCACCCAGCCUCUCCCAGCCUCCUUAGAUGACAAGCUCUGGCAUCCUCGGUCCACCCAACUCAGCCCCCAAGCAUUUCGCCAAAACAUCAGUAAGCAGGUAUAGGUGAAGGAGGUCACAGGUGUCUCCAUUUUGUGCCGUUUUCUCUCCUUCCCAGUGCUCAGCACACGACUAACCAGGGGUUCUCAUCAGGGGCCGUAUAUUCACUCCUGAAAGGGUAGUCAGCAGGUCACCAAACACCUUCCUCUGAACUCAGAAUAAGUUUAUUUUUACUUAAUUUUUUAAAUUAAAAUAAAUUUUUUUAGGCCGGGUGCAGUGGCUCACGCCUGUAAUCCCAGCACUUUGAGAGGCUGAGGUGGGCGGAUCACAAGGUCAGGAGUUCAAGACCAGCCUGGCCAAUAUGGUGAAACCCCAUCUCUAAAAAAUACAAAAAAAAUUACCCGGGCGUGGUUGCGCAUGCCUGUAAUCCCAGCUACUCGGGAGGCUGAGGCAGGAGAGUUGCUUGAACCUGGGAGGCAGAGGUUGCAGUGAACCGAGAUCCUGCCACUGCACUCCAGCCUGGGCAACAGUGUAGGACUCUCUCACAAAAAAAAAAAAAAAAAAAAAAAAAAAAAAUUCUGGGACAGAGUCUCGUUCUGUUCACACAGGCUGGAAUGCUGUGGUGUCAUCAUAGCUCACUAUAACCUCAAACUCCUGGGCUCGAGUGAUCCUCCCACCUCAGCCUCCCAAGUAGCUGGGACUAUAGGCCCUGCCACUGUAUCUGGCUAAUUUUUAAAUAUUUUGCAGAAACGGGAUCUCACAAUGUUGGUCUGAAACUCCUGAGCUCAUGUGAUCCUCCUGCCUCAGCCUCCCGAGUUGCUGGGAUUACAGGCAUGAGCCGCCGUGCCCAGCUAGUUUAUUUUUAUAUUCUGUAUUACUGUGGACCGGAAAAUCCAAGAGUUUGCCUGUACCCUAUGGGAAAAUUGUCUCUCAGCUGCAACGUGCCCAGCGUUCUCAGCAGUCAGGGCAAAUUCAACUACAGCAGCCACCGCCCAUCUUACCGAAGCUAAACCAGACAUGGAUGUUAUUAUCUGCUGCAUCCAGCAUUUGUUUAGAGCUUUCUGCUUCACAAAGCAACUCAUUAUCUUAAUCUUCACCAUCAUCCUACAUUGCUCUUACUUCCACUUUAUGAACAGUCAGUCUCAGAAAGCUAAGGCAUCUUCCUCAAAGCAGCUGUAGGAUUCAAACUGUGUGUCCGGGGACUCCAGAUUCUUUGUGCUUUCUACACAUUUAGAUUUCAUGGUAACAUCAAAAAUCAGGAUUCCUGGAUCUGGAGCAGUUUAUUCCCUCGGCCUUCCUCCCACCCAUUGCCAUCCCAGCCCAUUUCUAUAACCAUCAAAUGGGCAAUGUUUUUUUUUUUUUUUUUUUUUUGAGACAUGGUCUCACUCUGUCACCCAGGCUGGAGGGCGGUGGCGCAAUCUCGGCUCACUGCAACCUCUGCCUCCCAGGUUCAAGCGAUUCUCCUGCCUCAGCCUCCUGAGUAGCUGGGAUUACAGGCGCCCGCCAGCAAGCCCUGCUAAUUUUUUUGUAUUUUUAGUAGAGAUGGGGUUUCGCCAUGUUGGCCAGGCUGGUCUCAAACUCCUGACCUCAAGUGAUCCACCCGCUUCGGCCUCCCAAAGUGCUGGGAUUACAGGCGUGAGCCACCGCGGCCGGCCUAAAUUGGCAAGAAUUUUCACUGUUCAAUGAAGAACAUCCUUUUGCAGCCAAUUAUUCCAACAUUGCCUUCCUGAAGGACUCUUUCAAAAUCAUCAAGAAGAUUUCACUACAAAAGCAAUAUGGGAAUAUUGUAGAAAAAAGUACGAAAUAUAGAAAAAAGAAAAUAAAAGUCAUAAUUCUGCCAUUGAACAAGAAUUUAAGAUUUUUACUUCCAUGAUUUUUACUACAGACAUAUGGACUGACUUACGUUUAUAAAAAUGACAAGGGUGCCUACCCCAUAAUACUGUUUUGGAACCUGCUUUUAAAUUUAAUAUAUUGUAAGCAUUUUCCUGAAAUAUUUUUUGCCAUCAUAUUUAAGAGAUACACAUAUUUCAUUAUAGUUUUUCUUUUUUUGAGACAGGGUCUCACUCUGUUGUCCAGGCUACAGGGUACAGUGGUGUGAUCUCAGCUCACUGCAAUCUCCGUCUCCCAGGUUCAAGCAAUUCUUGUGCCUCAGUUUCCCAAGUAGCUGGGACUACAGGAGCACGCUACCACGCCCGGCUAAUUUUUUUUGUAUUUUUUGGUAGAGACGGGGUUUCACCAUGUUGGCCAGGCUGAUCUUGAACUCCUGACCUCAAGUAAUCCGCCUGCCUUGCCCUCCCAGAGUGCUGGGAUUACAAGUGUGAGCCACCACACACAGCUUACUUAAUUAUAAUUUUUAAUGUACUCAGGUUAAAUAUUUAGAUUGUUUCUACUUUUUCAAUAUUAUAACUAGUUUUAUGAUAGGCUUUUUUUUUUUUUUUUUUUUUGAGCUAGAGUCUUGCUCUGUCGCCCAGGCUGGAGUGCAAUGGCAUGAUCUCGGCUCAUUGCAACCUCUGCCUCCCAGGUUCAAGCUAGUCUCCUGCCUCAGCCUCCUGAGUAGUUGGGAUUGUAGGCACG
rnacentral:lncRNA from 1 species